rnacentral:pre_miRNA from 1 species
ACAACAUGUUUUUAGGACAUGUAUGUCUGGUGCAAUAAUUGGGACAUACUUAUGCUAAAAAAAUUAGUGUUC